rnacentral:lncRNA from 1 species
UGGUCAUUUGUUGGUUUGUGCGCAGGUGCACUAGAUGAAGAGUGAACUUUACCCCAAAACUUCUUCUCAAAACAUUUCCUUCCCUAUUUUCCAUCCCUUUACAUUCUAACACCAGAUCAUUUGAAAUAUCGGAUGCAAACUUUCUCACACGAGCCCUCAUGUUGCACACCAACUCUUGAGCAUAAUUGGAUAACUGAGUAAAUUUCAGUGCAUAUUCCUUGAUGCUUAUCUUUUC